rnacentral:rRNA from 1 species
UACGUAGGGUGCGAGCGUUGUCCGGAAUUAUUGGGCGUAAAGAGCUCGUAGGCGGUGUGUCACGUCGGCCGUGAAAACCUGCAGCUUAACUGUGGGCGUGCGGUCGAUACGGGCAUCACUGGAGUUCGGCAGGGGAGAGUGGAAUUCCUGGUGUAGCGGUGAAAUGCGCAGAUAUCAGGAAGAACACCCGUGGCGAAGGCGGCUCUCUGGAACGCAACUGACGCUGAGACGCGAAAGCGUGGGGAGCAAACAGG